CUCCGGGUGUGCGGGGGAAAAAGGCGCAGUCGCUUUCGAUAACUGGUUAGGUAACGACACGGUAAACUCCUCGUAUCAACCAAAAUGCUUUUUUAAAGUACUUUUCUUGUCCAUUACAUAUUUUGUUUACAUCAGAGGGCAACUGUACAUUGACAGCGAAUAAAUAACUAUUUUGCUACAUCGAGGCUAACGAACGCUAAACAAACAUGGCUACUAAAGCUAGCUGGCUAGCAAGAUAACAAAAAAGCUACAGUUCGCUGAAUUUUCGACAAAAAAAAGAGAGGCGGACCUGUUCCAUGUUGCACGUGAUUGGGUUUAUGCAGGAUCCUCAUUAGGGUCCGGAACAGUCAUUCUGAUUCCCAUGUAAAAUAGCACUUAGAGGUACAAACACAGCAGCCAUUAAAAAAAAAAAAAAAAAAAAACGGAUAGAAAUGCUCAAUUUAAGUACAUUUUUUUCCUCAUGGCUAACUACCUUCAUUUAUGGUUAGGCCUAAGGAUAGCAGUGUAGUUAAGGUAAGGUUUGAAUAGAAUUUGUAGAAAUAGGAAGGGUUUAUGACUUUGUGGCUUUUAUAACUAGCCAUGACCCUGAGUGGGCGGGGAGCUUGUGCUUGCCUUGACUGACAGCUCUUUGAAACGCCAAUGUCAAGAAACUUGGAUGCAGUUAAAUACAUUUUCAAGAAAAUCUGGCGAUGCAUAAAGCAACUCGAACCACAUUUUAAAUUGCAUUUUAUUAUACAUCUCCCAUUUGGUAUCUCGUGAUGUGACAACUCCCGCAGUAUAGCUAUUAACCACGCCCCUCUGCAAACAUGCCUUCUCUGAUUGGUUACAAGGCGGUAUUUAUUUAAAUUCAGGAAAGGAAUAUUACGUUACCGUAUUAAAAUGAGUGUUAGGGUGAAACACCCUAUCUUAAUAAACCCGCCUCCUGAAUCCAAGAGUUUGACAUGGGGAGGGGACCAGUAACUUUAUGAUUUUAACUUUUAUCAAUGUACAGGUUUCGCACAAAGUGCUUUGAGGUUCUUAAAGUACUUAGAUUUGGCACUCUGAAAUUCAAGUAAUAGAAUACCUUAAAUCAGGCAUUUUCUCAAGUUGAAUUAAAAUGAGAGAAUAGAAAAUUAUCAAAUAUGUUAAUCCAAAAAAUAUUAGAAAUGUAUUGGUUUUACGAAUACAUUUCCAGUUAGACGACAGUUUCAUUUUCUCAUGUGUUUUGCGCACUGGCUGCCAGGCAAGCUCGCUCAUUCUACCCACACUGCCACAUACACCGAACCCAAACCGGCUGUGCACAUGCGCAUCGUGCAUACAUUUAUGCUGUCCCCUCACCCUGACUCCACCGCAAGCGUCGCGUGAGCUGCAAAAUAAAUGUAGAAAUCAAUGUUAUUCAAUAGCCCUUAUGCUAUUAUAGUUUUUUAUUAGGUGUCUUCAGGAUUUGCCUCAAAUUAAUAUUAAUGAUGUACAUCGAAUUGUUACAUCAGCCUCCGAGACUCCAGCUAGCAAGAAUGAAAAGGGGUUCAAUAUGUAUAUAGGAAGCUACAUAGACAACUAUGAAGAUUGUCAUGGAGGUGAUGGGGAACCUACAGAAAACUCAACAGGACUGGACCAUGUUGCUGCAGAUGAGAAGAUAUUUACCUCAACCUAUGUUCUAAUGGGUUGAAAAGACUAAAUCCCACCCAUAUAAAAAAAGACAUGUCGAAUUCCAGCAUCUGUGCCUGACCUCACUAAUGCUCUUAUUUUUAUUUGACCAGGCAAUUCAGUUAACAACAAAUUCUUAUUUUCAAAAAGGUUUAACUGCCUUGUUCGGGGGCAGAAAUAUUUUUACCUAGUCAGCUCGGGAAUUCGAUCUUGCAACCUUUCGGUUACUAGUCCAACACUCUAACCACUAGGCUACCUGCCACCUCUUGUGGCUGAAUGGAUCAAGACCCCACAGCAAUGUUCCAACAUCUAGUGGAAAGCCUUCCCAGAAGAGUGGAGGCUGUUAUAGCAGCAAAGGGGGGGACCAACUCCAUAUUAAUGCCCAUGAUUUUGGAAUGAGAUGUUCGACGCGCACAUGUCCACAUACUUUUGAUCAUGUGUACAUACCUCAAGUACCUUGUACCUCUGCACAUUGAUCUGGUACAGAUACUCGCUGUAUAUAGCUCCAUUCUUGUAAAUAUUUUUUUCCUCGUUUAGUUACAAAAAUAAAAUAGUAACUCUG